rnacentral:rRNA from 1 species
ACACUCCUACGGGAGGCAGCAGUGGGGAAUAUUGGACCAUGGGCGCAAGCCUGAUCCAGCCAUGCCGCGUGAGUGAUGAAGGCCCUAGGGUUGUAAAGCUCUUUCACCGGUGAAGAUAAUGACGGUAACCGGAGAAGAAGCCCCGGCUAACUUCGUGCCAGCAGCCGCGGUAAUACGAAGGGGGCUAGCGUUGUUCGGAUUUACUGGGCGUAAAGCGCACGUAGGCGGACUAUUAAGUCAGGGGUGAAAUCCCGGGGCUCAACCCCGGAACUGCCUUUGAUACUGGUAGUCUUGAGUUCGAGAGAGGUGAGUGGAAUUCCGAGUGUAGAGGUGAAAUUCGUAGAUAUUCGGAGGAACACCAGUGGCGAAGGCGGCUCACUGGCUCGAUACUGACGCUGAGGUGCGAAAGCGUGGGGAGCAAACAGGAUUAGAAACCCUGGUAGUCC